rnacentral:rRNA from 1 species
AGCAGCCGCGGUAAUUCCAGCUCCAAUAGCGUAUAUUAAAGUUGUUGCAGUUAAAAAGCUCGUAGUUGAAUUUCGAGAUCAAAUUGUUGGUCGUGCCUUGGUACGUACUGGCAUUAUUGGUUUCUCCCUUCUGACGAACCAUGAUGUCAUUAAUUUGGUGUCAUGGGAAAUCAGGACUGUUACUUUGAAAAAUUGAGUGUUUAAAGCAGGCUCGCGCUUGAAUACAUUAGCACGGAAUAAUGAAAUAGGACGUUUGAUUCUAUUUUGUUGGUUUCUAGGAUCGACGUAAUGAUUAAUAGGGAUAGUUGGGGGC